GUGACAGUUUAUUCGCAUUAAAGUUUUGGGUAAAAUGUCAUACAAUGGAAUUUGAGGACUCAUGCAUAAACAGAAUGAGUCGGACCACCUUCCUGUCCGUGGUGAGUAAAGUUGGCGCAAACCAGGUGUUUCUAAUAAGCAAGUCUACACUGAGGCCUUUGUUGUAUCUGAUGAUUCAGAGAUGUUUCAGAGUCAUUUCUGCUGCAUUGGCUUUAUCCCUAUGUUUAGAGUUGCAAUGCACUUUCUGGCUGUGGAAUAUCAUAUCCGAAUGGCUUUGAUAGAAAAUAUGAGGGCAAUCAUAUUUCAUACCAUGUGGUGGUGCUGCAGUCCAAUUCCUUGUAAUGUCAGAUGGAGAUGUACUCUAAUUUUUAAUAGGGGAACCAACAAGCACAGCAGGUCUGGACCUCACAGGCCACCCCUAUGAUUGAGAAUGAACUCAGACAGCAUCUGAUGAGGUCAGGCUAUUUGUUGAUUAAUAUACAAAGAGUCACACUAGGACUCCAUUAAUCAAAUGAGAAUGUCACGUUCCGUAUGAUUUACAUGUCGCCUCUCCUCCAGCAAUUCUGUUUCGGACAUGGCACGGGGUGGGAACGGAAGGAUGAGGGAUGAGAAGACAGGAUGAUGAAAGUGAUGGAUUUACAAUGAUUCCAAUUCUAACUCCAAAUGAAAAUUCAGACUUGUUCAGACAGAAUUCUGAUUCUAAUGGCUGUUUGAUUUGGACUGAGGGUUUUCCCUUUCUGGAGGUCUGUGAGCAGGCUGGUGGUCAGACUCUGACCCUGUCAGUCAGUGACCCUGAAAAAUGACACACUGAUUGACUCUUUGUCACCACAGUGUCAUAAGGACGGUUGUUGUGGCAGCUGCGGAAUGUUCCGAGCAUAAAAGCAGAGCCAUCAAUCUCUUCCGGAACACGUCUUGUUCCUCGCAGCCCUGGGAUGAUUUCAAACACCACAGGUCUUUUUCAUCAACCUUUAAAAAUGACAGAUGCUUGCCAAGACUGCUUUCUCGUUGUAUCAAUGUGAAUACAUAUCAAUAAAAACUACUCUCAGAGAGUGUCAAACACAUUCCCAAACUUAUUUUUGAUGUUUCCUUCUCCACUUAAGUUGCAACUGUUCAGAGGCACAAAGUGCAUGGAAGCAGAUGUAAUUUCAUUUAUAUGUGACGUUUCCCAGCAUGCCCCAUUCAGAUGCCAGAACAUAGCGGGGGGACACUCUUUUAUUCCCUCAGUCUCAGGACACAUUCUCCAGUGUUGAAGAUCUCACCAGAAGGUGAAGUCAACUAGCAAACAUCCCACAAUAAUGGCACAAAGUGGAUUUAAUGUCUCACAAAGCAUCAGCCGUAAUCCACAAAGAUGACUCUCACAGUCUUUCAGGAAGUUUUUAUGAUGCUAAUCAGAUCACUGACAGCUUGAAGUCCACGGCUGACAGCGAUGAAAGCAAAUUUAAUUUUCCGUUUCCACACAAUGCAACAUUAUUGAAACAUGCUCUUAUAUCUCUACACUGUGAUGAUGUAUGAUGAGCUCAUUUGAAGCAUAUGGUGAAGCUAACAUUAAGGUAAAAACUGUCCAGUCGGGUUUUCAUUUAGCAGCUGUUUUUUAAUCUGGACACAGGACCCCCCACAGUUAGGCCAAGUAUUUACUUUUCCCUCAACAGUUUACAUUUGAUAACAAGUGCGAUAUGUUCACUUCCUCAAGACACUCUCAUGUCCCAUUCUCUUGCAUAAUAGACCAGUGAACACAAAGUGAGAGAGUUUACUAGAAUGAAGUUUUAAUAAACUAAAGUAGAUCAUAAUGAUAAUGACUUAUUAAGAUGCCAAAAUUAUGUUACAAAUUAAAAUCAUGUACAUAUACCAUAUGGCUGCCUUUAUAUGAGGAACAGUCUGACCUUCCUGUAAAAUAAGACUUGUUGAC